CGGCAAACGGGUGCGGAACACGUACGCAACCUCCCCGGAACAGGUGAAUAGCCUUGCGAAAGUAAGAUUAAUACACCGUACCAUAUAGUUGUGGCAUCACGAUUAUAUUAUAGGUAGCAAUACCGGUUCCGGAUGGGCGUGCGCCUGAUUAGGUAGUUGGUGAGGGUAACGGCCUACCAAGCCUUCGAUCAGUAACUGGUGUGAGAGCACGACCAGUCACACGGGCACUGAGACACGGGCCCGACUCCUACGGGAGGCAGCAGUAAGGAAUAUUGGUCAAUGGACGCAAGUCUGAACCAGCCAUGCCGCGUGCAGGAUGACGGCCCUCUGGGUUGUAAACUGCUUUUAUCUGGGACGAAAAACGGACUUUCUAGUUCACUUGACGGUACCAGAGGAAUAAGCACCGGCUAACUCCGUGCCAGCAGCCGCGGUAAUACGGAGGGUGCAAGCGUUGUCCGGAUUUAUUGGGUUUAAAGGGUGCGUAGGCGGUUUAUUAAGUCAGUGGUGAAA
rnacentral:rRNA from 1 species